ACCAAAGUGCUUCACGUAUCAAAUCAUAAAAAAUCUUGAUUCGACCCGAAGUACCACUAAUUACCUCAAAGGCAGAUGGUAUUUGUGUAUGAAAUGUCAUUGUUCUGUACAUUUUGGCAUUACUUUUAUUACUGGUAGGCACAAAUACCCGGUACUCAUAUAAUCCUCAUUCUGGCAUAGAUUUUAUCAACAGAAAUUUUGCACGUUUCUGAUGUCCGAAUGAAGAAAUAUUAUGCCCCUUUAUAAUGACUCAAGUUCCAUAAAUUUUUGCUUAAUAACUCAAGCUCAUUUAAAUUUUUGCUUAUUAACUCAAUUUCCUUAAAGUUUCUGCUUAAUAACUCAAGUUUCAUUAUUAUAUUAAUUUUCUGCUUAAUAACUAAAGUUCCAUUAAGUUUUUGCUUAAUAACUAAAGUUCCAUUAAGUUUCUACAUAAUAGCUCAGGUUCCAUUAAACAAAAUAAACUUAUAUUUCACACAGUACUGCGGUAUACUGAACUCUCUUAUUUAGGUUCACACAGUGCUGCGGUAUACUGAACGCUCUUAUUUAGGUUCACACAGUGCUGCGGUAUACUGAACGCUCUUAUUUAGGUUCACACAGUACUUCGGUAUACUGAACGCUCUUAUUUAGGUUCACACAGUACUUCGGUAUACUGAACGCUCUUAUUUAGGUUCACACAGUGCUGCGGUAUACUGAACGCUCUUAUUUAGGUUCACACAGUGCUACGGUAUACUGAACGCUCUUAUUUAGGUUCACACAGUGCUGCGGUAUACUGAACGCUCUUAUUUAGGUUCACACGCUCUUAUUUAGGUUCACACAGUACUUCGGUAUACUGAACGCUCUUAUUUAGGUUCACACAGUACUUCGGUAUACUGAACGCUCUUAUUUAGGUUCACACAGUGCUGCAGUAUACUGAACGCGAUUAUUUAGGUUCACACAGUGCUGCGGUAUACUGAACGCUCUUAUUUAGGUUCACACAGUAGUUCGGUAUACUGAACGCUCUUAUUUAGGUUCACACAGUGCUGCGGUAUACUGAACGCUCUUAUUUAGGUUCACACAGUGCUUCGGUAUACUGAACACUCUUAUUUAGGUUCACACAGUGCUGCGGUAUACUGAACACUCUUAUUUAGGUUCACACAGUGCUUCGGUAUACUGAACACUCUUAUUUAGGUUCACACAGUACUGCGGUAUACUGAACACUCUUAUUUAGGUUCACACAGUACUGCGGUAUACUGAACACUCUUAUUUAGGUUCACACAGUGCUGCGGUAUACUGAACGCUCUUAUUUAGGUUCACACAGUACUGCGGUAUACUGAACGCUCUUAUUUAGGUUCACACAGUACUGCGGUAUACUGAACACUCUUAUUUAGGUUCACACAGUGCUGCGGUAUACUGAACACUCUUAUUUAGGUUCACACAGUACUGCGGUAUACUGAACGCUGUUAUUUAGGUUCACACAGUACUGCGGUAUACUGAACGCUCUUAUUUAGGUUCACACAGUACUGCGAUAUACUGAACGCUCUUAUUUAGGUUCACACAGUACUUCGGUAUACUGAACGCUCUUAUUUAGGUUCACACAGUACUGCGGUAUACUGAACACUCAUAUUUAGGUUCACACAGUACUGCGGUAUACUGAACACUCUUAUUUAGGUUCACACAGUGCUGCGGUAUACUGAACACUCUUAUUUAGGUUCACACAGUGCUGCGGUAUACUGAACACUCUUAUUUAGGUUCACACAGUACUGCGGUAUACUGAACGCUCUUAUUUAGGUUCACACAGUACUGCGGUAUACUGAACGCUCUUAUUUAGGUUCACACAGUACUGCGGUAUACUGAACGCUCUUAUUUAGGAUGGCUUUAUCAAUCCAUAAAACAAGUAAUUACAUUAAAUAUAAAAUCAGGUCCGUAAGUUCAGUGCCAUUACACCCAUCAAACUAAACAUGGGUACUAUAUAUGGGCCCAUUCAUCUGAUCACUACUUUGCUAUCUGAAAUAUUUAGCUGAAUAUUUCAUCAUCAGAGGGCCUGUCAUAGUCAGCCAUCUUGGUUGUUUGUAUCCAGAAUAACUGUAACAGAGAGGUCACUUUCAAUCUUGCGUCAAAUUUUAUAGUGCCCGUGGACACUAACAGGUACUCUGGUCGGUGAAAUAUUCAGUUGAAUACAGAAAUUAGUUAAGAAAAUGUAAGUGUGAUGAGAUUGAAUUGUUCCCUGUGGCUCAUGCAGCACUGUCAUCCCUCAACAUCAGACCAUAGUGCUCACCAAUGGAGGCAAUAAUAUAUCAAGUGCUUUCAUUAGAUGUGCUUUCUUGGCAUUGCAUUUUCAAGGUCAUUGUUAGUAAACAUAGGUGUUAAAGAAAUUUUAGUUGCCAUGGUAACCAGGUCACUAUACAAAAGUCCAUAACUCAUCCGUCCUUUGAUCAAUUUUAUUCAAACUUGGUCAAGUGAUGUAAUUUGUUAAUGCCUAU